GUGCUCACUUCAGUGGUACACAUACUAAAAUUGGAAUAAUACAGAGAUUAGCAUGGCCCUUACAAAAGGUUGAUACACAGGCUGGUAAUAUGUUUCUCUCUCUC